rnacentral:rRNA from 1 species
AUUGAACGCUGGCGGCAGGCCUAACACAUGCACGUCGAACGAGUGGCGGACGGGUGAGUAAUGUCUGGGAAACUGCCUGAUGGAGGGGGAUAACUAAUGGAAACGGUAGCUAAUACCGCAUACCAUCGGAUGUGCCCAGAUGGGAUUAUAUAGUAGGUGGGGUAAAGGCUCACCUAGGCGACGAUCCCUAGCUGGUCUGCGAGGAUGACCCGCCACCCUGGAACUUAGACACGGUCCAGACUCCUCCGGUAGGCAUCAGUUGGGAAUAUUGCACAAUGGGCGCAAGCCUUAUGCAGCCAUGCCGCGUGUAUGAAGAAGGCCUUCGGGUUGUAAAGUACUUUCAGCGGGGAGGCGUUACCCGCAGAAGAAGCACCGGCUAACUCCGUGCCAGCAGCCGUGGUAAUAC